rnacentral:rRNA from 1 species
AGCGAACGCUGGCGGCAGGCUUAACACAUGCAAGUCGAGCGGGCACUUUCGGGUGUCAGCGGCGGACGGGUGAGUAACGCGUGGGAACGUGCCCUCUGGUUCGGAAUAACUCAGGGAAACUUGAGCUAAUACCGGAUACGCCCUUUUGGGGAAAGGCUUGCUGCCGGAGGAUCGGCCCGCGUCUGAUUAGCUAGUUGGUGAGGUGACGGCUCACCAAGGCGACGAUCAGUAGCUGGUCUGAGAGGAUGAUCAGCCACACUGGGACUGAGACACGGCCCAGACUCCUACGGGAGGCAGCAGUGGGGAAUAUUGGACAAUGGGCGCAAGGCUGAUCCAGCCAUGCCGGGUGAGUGAUGAAGGUCUUAGGGUUGUAAAGCUCUUUUAUCCGGGACGAUAAUGACGGUACCGGAGGAAUAAGCCCCGGCUAACUUCGUG